rnacentral:rRNA from 1 species
AUACGGAGGAUGCGAGCGUUAUCCGGAUUUAUUGGGUUUAAAGGGUGCGCAGGCGGCCAUUUAAGUCAGCGGUUAAAUCGUGGGGCUCAACCCCAUUCUGCCGUUGAUACUGGGUGGCUUGAUUGCGGUCGAGGUUGGCGGAAUUCGUUGUGUAGCGGUGAAAUGCAUAGAUAUGACGGAGAACACCGAUUGAGUAGGCAGCUUACCGGACCGCAAAUGACGCUCAUGCACGAAAGUGCGGGGAUCGAACAGGAUUAGAUACCCUGGUAGUCCGCACAGUAAACGAUGAAUACUAGUUGUCGGCGAUAUAAUGUCGGAGGCAAAGCGAAAGCGAUAAGUAUUCCACCUGGGGAGUACGGCGGCAACGGUGAAACUCAAAUGAAUUGACGGGG